rnacentral:tRNA from 1 species
CAGGAAAUAGUUUAAAAAAAACAAAAACUUUGGGAGUUUUAAACUUAGUCACACUAAUUUCCUGA